rnacentral:rRNA from 1 species
UACGUAGGUGGCAAGCGUUGUCCGGAUUUAUUGGGUUUAAAGGGUGCGUAGGCGGUCAUGUAAGUCAGUGCUGAAAUAUCCCGGCUUAACCGGGAGGGUGGCAUUGAUACUGCAGGGCUUGAGUAAAGUUGAGGUUGGCGGAAUUGACGGUGUAGCGGUGAAAUGCUUAGAUAUCGUCAAGAACACCGAUAGUGAAGACAGCUAACUAAGCUUUAACUGACGCUGAGGCACGAAAGUGUGGGGAUCAAACAGG